GGACCGCUAGCUCAAUUGGUCAGAGCAUGUGCCUCUUAAGCACGGGGUUCGGGGUUCAAGUCCCCGGCGGUCUACCA
rnacentral:tRNA from 1 species